rnacentral:rRNA from 1 species
AUUGAACGCUGGCGGCAGGCCUAACACAUGCAAGUCGAACGGCAGCACAGAAGAGCUUGCUCUUUGGGUGGCGAGUGGCGGACGGGUGAGUAAUGUCUGGGAAACUGCCCGAUGGAGGGGGAUAACUACUGGAAACGGUAGCUAAUACCGCAUAACGUCGCGAGACCAAAGUGGGGGACCUUCGGGCCUCACACCAUCGGAUGUGCCCAGAUGGGGUUAGCUAGUAGGUGGGGUAAUGGCUCACCUAGGCGACGAUCCCUAGCUGGACUGAGAGGAUGACCCGCCACACUGGAACUGGGACACGGUCCAGACUCCUACGGGCGGCAGCAGUGGGGAGUAUUGCACAAUGGGCGAAAGCCUGAUGCAGCCAUGCCGCGUGUAUGAAGAAGGCCUUCGGGUUGUAAAGUACUUUCAGCGGGGAGGAAGGCGGUGAGGUUAAUAACCUCGCCGAUUGACGUUACCCGCAGAAGAAGCACCGGCUAACUCCGUGCCAGCCGCCGCGGUAA